GGAGCACGCCGCGUGAGUGAUGAAGGCUUUCGGGUCGUAAAACUCUGUUGUUAGGGAAGAACAAGUACGAGAGUAACUGCUUGUACCUUGACGGUACCUAACCAGAAAGCCACGGCUAACUACGUGCCAGCAGCCGCGGUAAUACGUAGGUGGCAAGCGUUAUCCGGAAUUAUUGGGCGUAAAGCGCGCGCAGGCGGUUUCUUAAGUCUGAUGUGAAAGCCCACGGCUCAACCGUGGAGGGUCAUUGGAAACUGGGGAACUUGAGUGCAGAAGAGAAAAGCGGAAUUCCACGUGUAGCGGUGAAAUGCGUAGAGAUGUGGAGGAACACCAGUGGCGAAGGCGGCUUUUUGGUCUGUAACUGACGCUGAGGCGCGAAAGCGUGGGGAGCAAACAGGAUUAGAUACCCUGGUAGUCCACGCCGUAAACGAUGAGUGCUAAGUGUUAGAGGGUUUCCGCCCUUUAGUGCUGCAGCUAACGCAUUAAGCACUCCGCCUGGGGAGUACGGUCGCAAGACUGAAACUCAAGA
rnacentral:rRNA from 2 species